GAAAUGCGAUAAGUAAUGUGAAUUGCAGAAUUCAGUGAAUCAUCGAAUCUUUGAACGCACAUUGCGCCCCUUGGUAUUCCGAGGGGCAUGCCUGUUCGAGCGUCAUUGCAACCCUCAAGCUUUGCUUGGUCUUGAGCUUCUCGCCGGCGACGGCGUGCUCGAAAAUUAGUGGCGGUCCAGGGAGACUUCAAGCGCAGUAAAACUUUCCGCUUUCGAGGUUCUCGCCUGUGGCCAGCCGUAAACCCCCCAACUUUUCAAUGAUUGACCUCGGAUCAGGUAGGGAUACCCGCUGAACUUAA
rnacentral:misc_RNA from 1 species